UUAAGCGACUAAGCGUACACGGUGGAUGCCCUGGCAGUCAGAGGCGAUGAAGGACGUGCUAAUCUGCGAUAAGCGUCGGUGAGGUGAUAUGAACCGUUAUAACCGGCGAUUUCCGAAUGGGGAAACCCAGUGUGUUUCGACACACUAUCAUUAACUGAAUCCAUAGGUUAAUGAGGCGAACCGGGGGAACUGAAACAUCUAAGUACCCCGAGGAAAAGAAAUCAACCGAGAUUCCCCCAGUAGCGGCGAGCGAACGGGGAGGAGCCCAGAGCCUGAAUCAGUGUGUGUGUUAGUGGAAGCGUCUGGAAAGGCGCGCGAUACAGGGUGACAGCCCCGUACACAAAAAUGCACAUGCUGUGAGCUCGAUGAGUAGGGCGGGACACGUGGUAUCCUGUCUGAAUAUGGGGGGACCAUCCUCCAAGGCUAAAUACUCCUGACUGACCGAUAGUGAACCAGUACCGUGAGGGAAAGGCGAAAAGAACCCCGGCGAGGGGAGUGAAAAAGAACCUGAAACCGUGUACGUACAAGCAGUGGGAGCCUCUUAAUGGGGUGACUGCGUACCUUUUGUAUAAUGGGUCAGCGACUUAUAUUCUGUAGCAAGGUUAACCGAAUAGGGGAGCCGAAGGGAAACCGAGUCUUAACUGGGCGUUAAGUUGCAGGGUAUAGACCCGAAACCCGGUGAUCUAGCCAUGGGCAGGUUGAAGGUUGGGUAACACUAACUGGAGGACCGAACCGACUAAUGUUGAAAAAUUAGCGGAUGACUUGUGGCUGGGGGUGAAAGGCCAAUCAAACCGGGAGAUAGCUGGUUCUCCCCGAAAGCUAUUUAGGUAGCGCCUCGUGAAUUCAUCUCCGGGGGUAGAGCACUGUUUCGGCAAGGGGGUCAUCCCGACUUACCAACCCGAUGCAAACUGCGAAUACCGGAGAAUGUUAUCACGGGAGACACACGGCGGGUGCUAACGUCCGUCGUGAAGAGGGAAACAACCCAGACCGCCAGCUAAGGUCCCAAAGUCAUGGUUAAGUGGGAAACGAUGUGGGAAGGCCCAGACAGCCAGGAUGUUGGCUUAGAAGCAGCCAUCAUUUAAAGAAAGCGUAAUAGCUCACUGGUCGAGUCGGCCUGCGCGGAAGAUGUAACGGGGCUAAACCAUGCACCGAAGCUGCGGCAGCGACACUAUGUGUUGUUGGGUAGGGGAGCGUUCUGUAAGCCUGUGAAGGUGGCCUGUGAGGGUUGCUGGAGGUAUCAGAAGUGCGAAUGCUGACAUAAGUAACGAUAAAGCGGGUGAAAAGCCCGCUCGCCGGAAGACCAAGGGUUCCUGUCCAACGUUAAUCGGGGCAGGGUGAGUCGACCCCUAAGGCGAGGCCGAAAGGCGUAGUCGAUGGGAAACAGGUUAAUAUUCCUGUACUUGGUGUUACUGCGAAGGGGGGACGGAGAAGGCUAUGUUGGCCGGGCGACGGUUGUCCCGGUUUAAGCGUGUAGGCUGGUUUUCCAGGCAAAUCCGGAAAACCAAGGCUGAGGCGUGAUGACGAGGCACUACGGUGCUGAAGCGACAAAUGCCCUGCUUCCAGGAAAAGCCUCUAAGCAUCAGGUAACAUCAAAUCGUACCCCAAACCGACACAGGUGGUCAGGUAGAGAAUACCAAGGCGCUUGAGAGAACUCGGGUGAAGGAACUAGGCAAAAUGGUGCCGUAACUUCGGGAGAAGGCACGCUGAUAUGUAGGUGAAGCGACUUGCUCGUGGAGCUGAAAUCAGUCGAAGAUACCAGCUGGCUGCAACUGUUUAUUAAAAACACAGCACUGUGCAAACACGAAAGUGGACGUAUACGGUGUGACGCCUGCCCGGUGCCGGAAGGUUAAUUGAUGGGGUUAGCGGUAACGCGAAGCUCUUGAUCGAAGCCCCGGUAAACGGCGGCCGUAACUAUAACGGUCCUAAGGUAGCGAAAUUCCUUGUCGGGUAAGUUCCGACCUGCACGAAUGGCGUAAUGAUGGCCAGGCUGUCUCCACCCGAGACUCAGUGAAAUUGAACUCGCUGUGAAGAUGCAGUGUACCCGCGGCAAGACGGAAAGACCCCGUGAACCUUUACUAUAGCUUGACACUGAACAUUGAGCCUUGAUGUGUAG
rnacentral:rRNA from 1 species